GCAAGCUAAUUACUUGUCAAGAAAUGGUGGAUGAGGCAGACGCUUGAGACCCAGGUAGAAAUGAGAAGAUGAUGGUUUAAUGGUGAUAAUCCAGAAAAUAACAGAGUCCAAAACGCCGGGCAGCACGGCCGAGCGGAAGCCAGGGCUCGACGCCGGUAGCAACCGGUUACACGCGGGACUAGACAACGAACUGGACACACAAACGAAAGGGACGAGACGCUAACUGAGACGACAGCUAGACAAGGACCCGACGAGGAACAAAGAACACAGCUCCGGUUUGUUUGAAAAACAUCUGGAUGGCCUCCAGUUCGGUUCAAACCAGUGUUCAGGUGUUUACACCGGAGACAAAGUCAGACCUUCUUCCUCCCCCACUUCGCUGGAUCCACUUCUGUUUAAAUGACUGGGUUUGCAGGAGCGUUGGAGGAUAAAUGCUCCGGGGCAAACAAACAGAAUGCCACUUAGCUGUGCCGCAGGUGACUGACUCCAACAGCGCUGACGUCACCGGCCCACCUUUACUCGGCUGCUCAGCAGUCCUCCCUCACUUCUCCCCGACUGCAGUCUCUGUGGUCUGUUUAAUGAGCUAACUCUGAGCUGUGUUUAAGCUCAUUAACCUUUGUGGGUGGCGAGUCCCACUGAGAGGGAAAGCCAUUGAUAUACAGACACAGAUGUAGAGAGGGAGAUUUCUUUUUUCUUACCCUCCAAACACGCAGCUACUUACAACAGUGCAAAUUAAAGCUGAUAUCUUGAUAGCUAAGAACAAUGGAUGGUAGUUAAUAUCCCAGAGAUAAAGAGAAGUGGGGAAGGCUUGCCUGUUUAGUGAAAAUGAAUCCCAAUGAUAUUUUUUUGGCAUAGGAAACUGAUAAGGCCUCGUAAAUAAAUACACAACCUUUCCAAAGAAAUGUAUCAAUUUAACAACAAAAAAAACUGGGUGAGAUGCUCCAGAUGGAUAAUUGCUGCAUGGAUGAUUAUGGUUCAGCUAGCAACAAAUUACUUCACCUAACUGAUGCAGAGAGUUUCUUCUUAUACCUUUAACAACCUUAGAAGAUAAAACAACUCUUCCACAACCAAAAAUUCAAGUCACUGGCAUGCAUCGAGUAAAGAAACUGCCUAAAAAGAUUGCUGAAA